rnacentral:lncRNA from 1 species
UUUACUUAACAAAUUGAGAAAACUAUUAAUAUUAAAGAUUAAACUUAGAAAGUCUCCAUUUUAUAGAAACAAAAACAUAUUUGACCUUUAUUUUCUUUUCGAAUAGUAUUAGCAACACUCUCUUUUUUGAAUAUUCUUUUUAAUAUUCACUCGGUUAAAUUAUUAUGAGUCUACACUUUGAAAAUAGAACCAAUAUAAAGUGUUAGUACAUUAAGAAAGUAUUCAAAAGUGAGUGACACUAACAUUCUUCUUUUCAAAAUUAACUAAUACAAUAUCCGGUAUGCACAUAAACCUUCGAUGCACUCGCGAUAAUGAUGUGCAACCCACGGACAAUCAUCGAAAGAAUGACAUGAAGUAUCAGCUUCUGCAUCUUCAUAUAAGAAAGAAGAAAUGUUAAUUAACAAGUGAUAAAAUAUUAUGUAAGAUAAGUUUAAAAGGAACCAAUUUUAAUGGGUAAGUUUGAUUUUUUCAAAAAAGUAAAUAAAUUAAAAGAAAUAAAAAAAAAAUUUGUAAAAUGACAUACUUAUGCCGGUUACAACAAGAAUUAGAGAAAUAAAAAGGAUCAAAUCAUAAACAAACAUGAUAACUUGAGCCUUAU